rnacentral:rRNA from 1 species
GAUGAACGCUGGCGGCGUGCCUAACACAUGCAAGUCGAACGAAGCGAUUUAACAGAAGUUUUCGGAUGGAAGUUGAAUUGACUGAGUGGCGGACGGGUGAGUAACGCGUGGGUAACCUGCCUUGUACUGGGGGACAACAGUUAGAAAUGACUGCUAAUACCGCAUAAGCGCACAGUAUCGCAUGAUACAGUGUGAAAACUCCGGUGGUACAAGAUGGACCCGCGUCUGAUUAGCUAGUUGGUAAGGUAACGGCUUACCAAGGCGACGAUCAGUAGCCGACCUGAGAGGGUGACCGGCCACAUUGGGACUGAGACACGGCCCAA